rnacentral:rRNA from 1 species
AGUGAACGCUGGCGGCGUGCCUAAUACAUGCAAGUCGAACGGAGUGGCGCACGGGUGAGUAAUAUAUAGCUAAUCUGCCCCUUGCUGGAGGACAACAGUUAGAAAUGACUGCUAAUACUCCAUAGCAAGGGAUGAGACUAUAUCGUAUCAGCUCGUCGGUUGGGUAACGGCCUACCGAGGCUAUGACGCGUAACUGGUCUGAGAGGAUGAUCAGGAGAAGGGGAAAGGAUACACGGUACAAAAGCCGACGGGAGGAAGCAGUAGGGAAGAUUGCGCAAUGGGGGAAGUCCUGACGAAGCAACGCAGCGGGAAGGAUGACACUUUUCGGAGCGUAAAAUCAUUUUGUUAGGAAAGCGGUACCUAAAUAAUAAGCAACGGCUAACUACGUGCCAGAAGCCGCGGUAAUAC